rnacentral:tRNA from 1 species
AAUUAAUGAGCUUGUUAAAGCAUUUGUUUUGAAAACAUAAGAAAGAAUAAUUAUUCUAUUAAUUU